GACGAACGCUGGCGGCGUGCUUAACGCAUGCAAGUCGAGCGAUGAAGUUCCUUCGGGAAUGGAUUAGCGGCGGACGGGUGAGUAACACGUGGGUAACCUGCCCCAUAGAGGGGAAUAGCCUUUCGAAAGGAAGAUUAAUACCGCAUAAGAUUGUAGUUUCGCAUGAAACAGCAAUUAAAGGAGUAAUCCGCUAUGAGAUGGACCCGCGUCGCAUUAGCUAGUUGGUGAGGUAACGGCUCACCAAGGCGACGAUGCGUAGCCGGCCUGAGAGGGUGAUCGGCCACAGUGGGACUGAGACACGGCCCAGACUCCUACGGGAGGCAGCAGUGGGGAAUAUUGCACAAUGGGGGAAACCCUAAUGCAGCAACGCCGCGUGAGUGAUGACGGUCUUCGGAUUGUAAAGCUCUGUCUUCAGGGACGAUAAUGACGGUACCUGAGGAGGAAGCCACGGCUAACUACGUGCCAGCCGCCGCGGUAA
rnacentral:rRNA from 1 species